rnacentral:rRNA from 1 species
GACGAACGCUGGCGGCGUGCUUAACACAUGCAAGUCGAACGGAAAGGCCCUGCUUUUGUGGGGUGCUCGAGUGGCGAACGGGUGAGUAACACGUGAGUAACCUGCCCUUGACUUUGGGAUAACUUCAGGAAACUGGGGCUAAUCCCGGAUAGGAGCUCCUGCCUCAUGGUGGGGGUUGGAAAGUUUCGGCGGUUGGGGAUGGACACGCGGCUUAUCGGCUUGUUGGUGGGGUAGUGGCUUACCAAGGCUUUGACGGGUAGCCGGCCUGGGAGGGUGACCGGCCACGUUGGGACUGAGAUACGGCCCAGACUCCUACGGGAGGCAGCAGUGGGGAAUAUUGCACAAUGGGCGGAAGCCUGAUGCAGCAACGCCGCGUGCGGGAUGACGGCCUUCGGGUUGUAAACCGCUUUCGCCUGUGACGAAGCGUGAGUGACGGUAAUGGGUAAAGAAGCACCGGCUAACUACGUG